rnacentral:lncRNA from 1 species
UUCCCCCAACUGGUUUCUGAUCUUAGGAAGGGGACGGCUCCAGAAAUAGCCCUGUCCCUGGUUCUUCAAGCUAAGACAUGCCAACCUAAGGCCUCCUGCAUCCGGAAUGGGCACGGUUCCAGGGGAGGGAGGUGGUUUUCUACCUCUAUGCAGUGGGCGGUCUUGGCAGCGGGCAGGUGCAGCCAGCCUCCCUGGGAAAAAAAAAGUCUCAACUGUAGAAAUUGGAUGGCUCCCGAGAUGUGUUUUAAGUCACUGCAGUCGUUACACAAGGUCCUGGGAAGGUGCCACCACUUCUCAAGGAGUCCAGCUUGUUGCUUCCAAGUGAAGUCCCCUCCUUGGAGGAACAAGUGCUUUCAAGAAAGCUCACAGUGGGCCAUAGCCUGUCACCCACUUUCUGCUGCCACCCAGCCACGCAGCUCAAAGGGGUGCCAUUAUUCAGCACAGCUAUGUCAGCAGUGGGUGUGGGGCCUGAGCUGUGCCCCCUGCCCCUUCACCCCCCACACACACACACAAAGAAGUAGGUUGAAGCCCUAAGCCCUGGUGCCAGCGAAUGUGGCCUUAUUGGAAAUGUGAUCAAGUUCAGACCCAUCCAACGGUGUCAGAUGAGCCCUGGGUCCAUGAGCUGUGUCCUUGGGAGAAGAUGCAGAUGGGGCUCUGACAGCCCAGGAAGACAAGGCUGGUAGGCAGCCACCAGAAACCAGGGAGAGGCCAGCAAGGAGCUUCCUCCAAAACCCCAAGAAGGAACCAGUGGGGUGGACACCUCGAUUUCAGACUUCUGGCAUCCACAAGUGUGGGGCACUAAUUCUGUUGUUGCUGUUGUUGUUGUUUUAUGGCCACACCUGUGAGAUAUGCAAGUUCCCCAGCCAGGGAUUGAAUUUGAGCUGCAGCUGUGACCUGCAGCACAGCCAGAUCCCUUAAACCACUGAGCCGGGCUGGGGAUCAAACCUGAGCCUCGGCAGCAACCUGGAGCUACUGUAGUUGGAUCCAUUCCUUUCCUUUCCUUUGUCUUUUGAGGGCCACACCCCCGGCAUAUGGAAGUUCCCAGGCUAGAAGUUGAAUCAGAGCUGCAGCUGCCAGUCUACGCCACAGCCACAGCAACUCAGGAUCUGAAAUGUGUCUUUGACCUACACCACGGCUCACCGCAACGCUGGAUCCUUAACCCACUGAGCGGGGCCAGCAUCCUCAUGGAUACCAGUUGAGUGCAUAACCACCUAGCAAUAGGGGGAACUCCGUGCCAUUGGAUUCUUAAUCACUGCACUGCAGCAAGAACUCCUAAUUUCUGUUGCUUUAAACCACCCGGUCUGCAGUGCUUUGGGACAGCAGCCAUUGAACACAAAUGCCCUGAGUGAGACCCUGAAAGGCCCCUUUUGAUCACUUGCAUAUGCAAAAGCAGCCGCCUGGCUGGUCUGCGUCCUUCUUUGCUAAUCUUUGCAUCUUUCAUCUCAUUUGAGCUUCAGAUCUGAGGAAGACCCAGCAAGGCCCUGUUGGGAUUGAACUGGCUCCGCAGGGAACAAAACGAGAUGUCUCCUCCCCA